GAUGAACGCUAGCGAUAGGCUUAACACAUGCAAGUCGAGGGGCAGCAUGGUCUUAGCUUGCUAAGACUGAUGGCGACCGGCGCACGGGUGCGUAACGCGUAUGCAACUUGCCUCACAGAGGGGGAUAACCCGUCGAAAGACGGACUAAUACCGCGUACACUUGGGAUAGGGCAUCCUGACCCAAGGAAAUGAAAUUCGCUGUGAGAUAGGCAUGCGUCCCAUUAGCUAGUUGGUGAGGUAACGGCUCACCAAGGCGACGAUGGGUAGGGGAACUGAGAGGUUGAACCCCCACACUGGUACUGAGACACGGACCAGACUCCUACGGGAGGCAGCAGUGAGGAAUAUUGGUCAAUGGGCGAGAGCCUGAACCAGCCAAGUCGCGUGAAGGAUGACUGUCUUAUGGAUUGCAAACUUCUUUUAUACGGGAAUAACAAGAGCCACGUGUGGCUCCCUGCAUGUACCGUAUGAAUAAGCAUCGGCUAACUCCGUG
rnacentral:rRNA from 1 species